GACGAACGCUGGCGGCGUGCUUAACACAUGCAAGUCGAACGGUAAGGCCCUUCGGGGUACACGAGUGGCGAACGGGUGAGUAACACGUGGGUGAUCUGCCCUGCACUUCGGGAUAAGCCUGGGAAACUGGGUCUAAUACCGGAUAGGACCACUGCCUGCAUGGGUGGUGGUGGAAAGCUUUUGCGGUGUGGGAUGGGCCCGCGGCCUAUCAGCUUGGUGGUGGGGUGAUGGCCUACCCAGGCGACGACGGGUAGGCGGCCUGGGAGGGUGACCGGCCACACUGGGACUGAGAUACGGCCCAGACUCCUACGGGAGGCAGCAGUGGGGAAUAUUGCACAAUGGGCGCAAGCCUGAUGCAGCGACGCCGCGUGAGGGAUGACGGCCUUCGGGUUGUAAACCUCUUUCAGCACCGACGAAGCGCAAGUGACGGUAGGUGCAGAAGAAGGACCGGCCAACUACGUGCCAGCCGCCGCAGUAA
rnacentral:rRNA from 1 species